rnacentral:rRNA from 1 species
AAUGAACGCUGGCGGCAGGCCUAAAACAUGCAAGUCGAACGCCCUAGCAAUAGGGAGUGGCGCACGGGUGAGUAGCAUGUGGGAAUAUGCCUUUUGGUACGGAACAACGUUUGGAAACGAACGCUAAUACCGUAUGGUCCCUCCGGGGUAAAGAUUUAUCGCCAAAAGAUUAGCCCGCACUAGAUUAGCUAGUUGGUAAGGUAAUGGCUUACCAAGGCGACGAUCUAUAGCUGUUCUGAGAGGAAGGUCAGCCACACUGGGACUGAGACACGGCCCAGGCUCCUACGGGAGGCAGCAGUGAGGAAUAUUGGACAAUGGGCGCAAGCCUGAUCCAGCCAUGCCGCGUGAGUGAUGAAGGCCUUCGGGUUGUAAAGCUCUUUAGCCGACGAAUAUAAUGACUGUAGUCGGAGAAUAAGCCCCGGCUAACUUCGUGCCAGCCGCCGCAGUAAAAC